UACAGAGGUCUCAAGCGUUGUUCGGAUUCAUUGGGCGUAAAGGGUGCGUAGGCGGCGCGGUAAGUCGGGUGUGAAAUCUCGGAGCUUAACUCCGAAACUGCAUUCGAUACUGCCGUGCUUGAGGACUGGAGAGGAGACUGGAAUUUACGGUGUAGCGGUGAAAUGCGUAGAGAUCAUGAGGAAGACCAGUGGCGAAGGCGGGUCUCUGGACAGUUCCUGACACUGAGGCACGAAGGCCAGGGGAGCAAACGGG
rnacentral:rRNA from 1 species